CAUUCACACGCGCCGGCGUGUUCAUUCCUGAGCGCGCGCAGUGCAAUGAUCCCUGGAAUGCAGCUCACAGUGUUAGCGCUGGUGGGCCUCGUCCUUCAGCUUCCAUGCAGUGCCUCUUUAUGGGCGCCCCUUUUUCUUUUGCGCACUGCACCCCUUUCACAUGUACACACCCGUUAUGAGUCCGCCUGAACAGGGCAUUACCCGCUGCCUUUCUUCAAGGGAGGCGGUAUGAUUUUCUGUUGCUGGGCAGAGCGGUGAGUUUUUUCGCGGUGUCGAUGAAGGGAGAGAUGAUGGGAAGAAGACAAGGACUGGAAUGACCUUGAAAAGCCCCAUCAUUGGAAUCCGGAACUCCUUGUGCUCGUUGCCCGCACUCACCCACACGCGCACGCUCCCUUUUUCGUCCCCUCCAGAGACGCAAGGCUCGCCUAACCCUCCUCCCACGUGGAUCUCUUUCAGGCCCCGCCCACCGCGCGCGCAUAUGCCUCGUCUGGGAGGCGUAGCAUCUAACCGCCACGUCGUGAGAAGAACUACCACGUCCUACGCCAAAAGGAAUACGCCAAAUGUCCGGAGGUGUUCCCCAGACAUUCAUGAGCAUACGCACCGCAGCUCCCCCCCUCCUCCCACCUCUCCACCCCUUCCAUGAUCGGUUGAUACCCUCAAAACUUUCUCGUCCUCCCUCCUCCUGUUUUGGGAGACAUGUCUUUGUACGUUGACCCUCUCGAACACCUCUUUUACUCUCCUCCCUUCCUCAUCUCUGUAGAAAAGCCUCCAACGUAAACGUUUUAUAGUCGCCGGUUGUUUUUGUCCCGGGACUUUGCUUCGUUCCGCCGCUUCUGCGUGGCUGUCGAGUACGUCGUAUACACGGCUGGCGCUCUUUGGGGCGUGUGGAGUGAUUUCUUCACUCUACACUCGCGUGAUGUCCUGCAUCAGCGGUUGUGGUAGUGAUUCUCGAUACCUCUUUGCGUGCUCCCUCUGACGUGGCGGGGCACGAACAUUCAACGGAGAGCUACUGUGUGCAUGCUCUGUUUCCAUCCCACUCACCCAGCCAUCACCACUCCUCAACCCUCAUCCGCCCCUCUUUCCACCCUCGCUGGCUUUUUGCCGGCCGGCAACGUUGCAUCCCGUCGUUCAAG
rnacentral:misc_RNA from 1 species